ensembl:lncRNA novel transcript
CACCCUGGAGAAAGAAUCUUACAAAGAAUACUAAAGAGCAUCCAAGUGUGAAGAAUGAAACACACAGAUGAGCCCCAAGAGGAUGAGGAAGGGAGAGGCUGGUGGGGGUCUGAUUCUCAUCUCCACCUUAACAGAAUGCACAUGAAGUCCAGCCAUGGUGUAGCCAAGGAGACCCACUAAGACCACCAAAAGCUUGGAAAUGAGGAUGCAGGGGCAAAGGACGGCAUUAUAGGCGCAUACAUCUCUUCACACCAUGAAUGAUUUGAAGCUUGCAUGCUUUUGGAUUGCCCUGGUGAAGAUUUAGUUUCCAGCUCAAGAAAACCCAUGUCAGAAAAUCGUCCUUCAGCAUUCUCAGAGGAUAAAUAAAAAAGAUUGCUACUGAAAGAACCCAAUUUUGUUUUUCAAAAUAUAUGUGCAAAUAGACAUUGAAAAAAAUAUGGGCAUGAUAUAAUCAAAAUGGUAUAAAUUGUCAUGUAUGGAUAGAGGAUAAUAAUGAUUUCUAUUUUGGGGGAGGACUUUUUAAUUUUCUUGUUAGCGAACUUCUUUUGUAAUAAUAAAAAAUGAGUUUUUAAAGAA